UUGGUUUCCAUAAAUGCAAUAGAAUUAGAACAACUAGGGAAAACAGAAUUAAAAUUGCUAGAUCUCAUUGGAAACCUGAAAUUUAACAACACAAAAGAUGUGAGUGAAAUUCAAAGCAAACUUGAUUAUCUCUUGCAAAUUUACUUACACUUAUGAGAUUUUUAGUGAUAGAAGGCACAUGUAGUUGAACAAGAGAUAGAGGAACAUUAGAAUGAUAAGGAGAAAUGAAAUGAGAAGAACGGGUUGGCUGAACGAAGAAGUUAUUGGAUAUUUUUAGAUUAGAAUUGUUUAAUUUGAUCGGUUAGGAGGAGGUAGGGUAAAGGGAUCAUUGUCAUAUAAGGGUUUGGUUGAAAAUUUUGAUCAUACCUACCAUGGCAGUGAAUGGAUGUCCAUACAACCUGGCACUGAAAGUUUGCAGAGCGACGUCAUUUCAUGAACACAAGCACCACCACAUCAACCAUUGGGAUUGUAGCCACCUCCACAACCAAAACCACCUCGCCACAUAGAAUUUUUCGAUUUUGUUGGUUGAAACUUGUGUUGAGUAUAAAUUAGCUCCAUAUGCAUGAGUUAACGAUCAUACCAUUUAUUAAACUUCUGCAAACUUCUGCAAUUGGGAGCUGUUAGAUUUUUCUUUCCUUCCAUUACAAAUAUAAGUAACUUCGAGGAAGACCUUCAAGCAAAACUUGUUCUUUGUGUUCUUUGAGGAGAAAUUGGGAUGCCUACCCAUCUACAUCUCUUGAACCUUGAGAAGAAAAGAAAAG
rnacentral:lncRNA from 1 species